CCCCCCCUCUCUCACUUGGAUCACGUCCUCAACACCUCUUGUUUGAUUAGUACCAUGGUACCAAAGGAACCUGACACUAUUCUUCUUGGAGUGGCAAGACUUAUGCUGGAAGUAUUUUGUGAUGGAUAUUACAUGGUUCCAAAUAAAAACCAUCUGAGUUUAUUGUUGAUGGUUAAAUAUCAAACAGACCUCAUUUUAAACGGUGGUGCUUAUCUUUUUGACACACAUAAUUUUUACCGUACUACUGCUCAAAAGCUUUUAAUUUUGUUUUAAAAUUCUGUUAAUUCGUUGAUAAAUCACGUUAUUCUAUUCUCUAGUCAUGGUAGUCAGUUAAACUUGAAACCUGUAUGUUUAAGUUGUAACCACUGUAAAAAGGAUGGCUGUAGAAGAAUCAUGUUCGUUCUGAAUCUAAAUGUAAAACCUAUUCCCCCCCCCCUCCCCAGCCGCUGAUCAACAGAAAUGAGCAAAGUGAACCUGGGCACUAAACAAUAUUCAGAAUACAAGUUAUUUAGAAGUUUAUUUUGUUUGUGGCUUGAUAAAUACAAGAGAACACUUUUCAAGACGUCGUCAGAAAUGAACUGUGAAAAAACUUGUAUUUAAUACACCGGUAUAUUAGUCAUGGUUUAUUCAAUACAGUUACUAAAUGCAGCUUUAACAAACUACAUUUUUUAAUGGUUUAUUUACAGAGAAGAAAUGGGAAACAUUACCAGACUGCCAGACACGCCCCAUUGAUAACAAAGGUCUGCCUGCUGCCGCUGUACACAAAACACCCAACCCAGAACCAAUCGAUGCCACAAAAUUGCCGCUAGCAGAAAAAAUUCGACGACUUUCAAUGUUUUUACGAAGUGAAAAAAAAGUAAUCAAUGAAAUUAUGUUGUUUGAGAAUUCUCUGAUGAGUUGUAAAGUUGGAAUUAGACCAGAUUUUUUGAUGUGGUGUGUUCCUAGCCAGAGCUAUCGGCAUCAACAAGAAAGAAAUCAAACUGUCAUGUUUCAAGAAGGCGGUGGAACUUUAUCGUACCCUUCCUGUCACUGAAAUUUUGAACCAGGAUGAUAUGACCCCAAAAGUUAUCAAGGAGAAACUGGAGAAUUUUAACUCGACCGUUGCUAAGAUGGAGAAAGAAACAAUUGCAGAGUUACCCCCACCAUCUAUUUUGAAACAGAUCCAAGAUAUUCUAACCAAUCCUAAAUAUGCUUCAACCAAUUCAGUCAGCAAAAUGGAGUUGGCGGCCUCUGUGGCUAAAUGUCGAGUCCGUUGUCGAUAUGAUGUAGAGAGUUGUAAAGCUGAAUCAGGGAAAGUUUAUCAUAAGGGAAUGUACUUUAUUGACAACAUACUACAAGGUGCAGGUGUUUCAGUUUCCAAAAAAACUGCUAAGUCAUUGUGUUAUAAUAUGGUGGUUGAACGACUGACCACCAUGAAUGUUGAACAUGGCAACAUCUUAGAUGGUGUCGAACAGUCUGUCAUAACAGAAGCAGAAGCACAGGUUCAGAGCACUUUGGUAAAGGCAGCACCAAAUCCUAGGGCAUUUGAUCUCCGUGAACAGUUUGUCAAAAUGAACGAACUUAGCAGUGCCACGCAUCCUGCAUCCAUCAUUACUGUCUUGGAUGGAAUUUUCAACGAUGUAAAAUUGACGCCCAUUUGUCUGUACCGUCGUAGCAUGAACACAGAAAUAGAAAAGGAGAAAAUUUUCUGUAACCUCUAUCUAGCUGGUCAUCUCAUCAUGAUUGGUGAAGCAGAGAACCGAACAGAUGCCCAAGCAGACGCUUACUCUAAAGCCCGAUAAGUUUCACGAACUGUGACCCCGAGUUCAUCCUCCCCCAACACAGUAAACUUCAACCACACGACCAAGCAGCAACAGAUGUUAUCGACUUUCGUGUCAAGGGCAACUGCAUUUUGGAAGAUAACUGUUCGAAUCUUCAUCGCUUACAAUGGACCCGAAAACCUAUAUCAACACUACCAGCCAAGGAUAUCGUUGUCUUUGAGGACGUCAGUUGGAUAGUAGAUCGUAAAGUUCAAGGUUUCUAUAUUUUACAACAUUCAUGUUUUGUCAACAAUAUGUUGUUGGAAUGGGAGUUUUUUGACAAUGAUGAUCGUGUAUUCAGAUGUCAGAUGAAGAUACAGAAGGAAGAUGUUGGAACCGAACCUGCAGUGUCUCUUAGUAAGAUAGGCUCUAGAAAUUUUGCAGCAGCUGAUAUCUUGUUUAAGCUCUACGAAACACAACCAGUCAUAGAGGUUUCUGCUUACACUAAACCUGAUCAAGCGAUAGAAUCUGUCAGUUUUGAUACGUUGCUUAAAGAAGCGGAGGUGUUGAAGAAAGCUGCCGAGGAUGCAGGAGAAAACGUUACAGCUACUACAGCUGAGGGAACUGAUUCAGAAACUGAGACCAGUGACACAGAUGUUGAAAUGAAGGAAGAAGUAACAGAUUCACAGGCUAAGAAGAAAUAUCCUAGAAAACCACAUUACCGUCAUGCUGAUAGAUUUAUUUUAAAAGCUGCCCAGGCACGCCUAGACGAAUUCAUAAAAGUUAAAAUGCUAAAAGAUCUACUGUUUGGACCUGCUUUCCCUCAUCAUAUCACACGCCAGAUUAACGGCUUACUGUAUAACCUCCCCGUUCCAGUUCGCUUUAUAAAUCAUUCCACUAGAAAUCAGAUGUACACCAUUGUAACGCAAAGUAUGUCACCGAUCAAAAUUGUCGCAUUUCUCAAAGCCAACGGUGGACAGUCUGGUCGCUUUCGUUUAGUCGACAAAUCAGAACUUCCGACACAUAAGGACAUUUUACCAGAACUUAAAAGUAGGGAAAUUUUAAGUAAGAUCAAAUCCAAAUUUUAGUAGAAAUUUCAAUUUUGAUUGGCUAAGCACUAAAACCAAUCAAAUUGUUGGCUUUUUUUUGCUAAUAAAUAUAAGUGCUAGUCUAA